UAAAGCAAGAAAGGGCGUAUGGGGAAUGCCUAGGCACACUCCGGCGAAGAAGGACGCAGCAAACAGCGAAAUGCGACGGUGAGCGGUAAGCACGUGAAGAGCCGUCGAUAUCCGAAUGGGGGAACCCACACGGAGUCAUAUCCGUGUAUCACAUGUCGAAUACAUAGACAUGAUGAGGCGAGACGCAGGGAACUGAAACAUCUAAGUACCUGCAGGAAGAGAAAAUAAGAAUGAUUUUCUGAGUAGCGGCGAGCGAAAGGGAAAGAGCCCAAACCGAUCUUAGGAUCGGGGUAGUAGGAUCAUCGAUAAAUCUGACAGAGGAUCAUAGAGGAAUCACAUGGGAAGGUGAGCGAGAGAGGGUGAGAGCCCCGUACUCGAAAUGAGAGACUGGAGAGAGAUGACACCUGAGUAGGGCGGGACACGAGAAAUCCUGUCUGAAUCGGCCGGGACCAUCCGGCAAGGCUAAAUACGAGAGAGUGACCGAUAGUGAACCAGUACCGUGAGGGAAAGGUGAAAAGAACCCCGGGAGGGGAGUGAAAGAGAACCUGAAACCAUAUGCCUACAAGAAGUCAGAGCCCGUUAAAGGGUGAUGGCGUGCCUUUUGUAGAAUGAACCGGCGAGUUACUGUAUGGAGCGAGGUUAAGCAGGAUAUGCGGAGCCGAAGCGAAAGCGAGUCUUAAGAGGGCGAGAGUUGCAUGCAGUAGACCCGAAACCGGGUGAUCUAGCCAUGACCAGGUUGAAGUUGGGGUAAAACCCGAUGGAGGACCGAACCGACCCCCGUUGAAACGUUGGCGGAUGAGUUGUGGCUAGGGGUGAAAUUCCAAUCGAACCCGGAGAUAGCUGGUUCUCCCCGAAAUAGCUUUAGGGCUAGCGUCGAGGUAAGUUGCGUGAAGGUAGAGCACUGAAUAUGUGAUGGCCCCAUCUCGGGGUACUGAGCAUAAUCAAACUGCGAAUGUCACGCCAACAUGCUCGGCAGUCAGACAGCGGGUGAUAAGGUCCGUUGUCAAGAGGGAAACAGCCCAGACCAUCAGCUAAGGUCCCAAAAUGUAUGCUAAGUGGAAAAGGAUGUGGAGAUGUACAGACAACUAGGAGGUUGGCUCAGAAGCAGCCAUCCUUUAAAGAGUGCGUAACAGCUCACUAGUCGAAUGACUCUGCGCCGAUAAUUUACCGGGGCUAAGCAUACUACCGAAGCUAUGGAUCCCAAGGGAUGGUAGGGGAGCGUUCCAUGAACGGAGAAGUACGACCGAAAGGACGUGUGGAGAUCAUGGAAGAGAGAAUGCCGGUGUGAGUAGCGGAACGUGGGUGAGAAUCCCACGCACCGAAAACCCAAGGUUUCCAGAGGAAGGUUCGUCCGCUCUGGGUAAGUCGGGACCUAAGGCGAGGCCGAAAGGCGUAGUCGAUGGACAACAGGUAGAGAUUCCUGUACCCGUAUAUAUGUGAAGGAAUGACGGAGAGAGGAAGCUGCAGCCAGCGGCUGGAAGAGCUGGUGCAAGCGAGAUAUCGGGAUGGCAGGCAAAUCCACCAUCCGAAACGAGAAGGCGUGAAGCGUACGGAAAGCUACGGCGAGUACGGAAGGCAGUGGAGGAACUUCCAAGAAAAGUUUCUAACGUAAAGUAUAUAUGGCCCGUACCGAAAAUGGACACACAUGGGUGAGGAGAGAAUCCUAAGGUGAGCGAGAGAACUAUAGCUAAGGAACUCUGCAAAAUGACUCCGUAACUUAGGGAGAAGGAGUGCUCAUAGAGAUAUGAGCCGCAGUGAAACGGCCCAAGCGACUGUUUACCAAAAACACAGCUCUCUGCUAAGCCGCAAGGCGAAGUAUAGGGGGUGACGCCUGCCCGGUGCUGGAAGGUUAAGGGGAGGGGUUAACGCAAGUGAAGCCCUGAACUGAAGCCCCAGUAAACGGCGGCCGUAACUAUAACGGUCCUAAGGUAGCGAAAUUCCUUGUC
rnacentral:rRNA from 1 species